CCAAUCUUUUUUAUCAAUAUGAACUUUCCAAAAAAAUUACGCUGUUAUCCCUAAAGUAACUUAAAUUUUUAAUCAAUAUAGUUGGAUCAAUUAUUCAUAAAUUAAUGAUUUAAAUUUUUAAAAGUUAAUUAAAUUUUAAUAUCACCCCAAUAAAAUAUAUUUUUUUAUUAUAAUUAAAAUAAUCUUUAAAAUUAAAAUAAUAAAUAUAUAAAGAUUUAUAGGGUCUUCUCGUCUUUUAAUUAAAUUUUAACUUUUUAAUUAAAAAAUAAAAUUUUAUUAAAAUUUUAAAUGAAACAGUUAAUAUUUCGUCCAACCAUUCAUUCCAGCCUUCAAUUAAAAGACUAAUGAUUAUGCUACCUUUGCACAGUU
rnacentral:rRNA from 1 species